rnacentral:rRNA from 1 species
CCUACGGGUGGCAGCAGUGAGGAAUAUUGGUCAAUGGCCGAGAGGCUGAACCAGCCAAGUCGCGUGAGGGAAGACGGCCCUACGGGUUGUAAACCUCUUUUGUCGGGGAGCAAAGCGAGUCACGUGUGACUCAUUGAGAGUACCCGAAGAAAAAGCAUCGGCUAACUCCGUGCCAGCAGCCGCGGUAAUACGGAGGAUGCGAGCGUUAUCCGGAUUUAUUGGGUUUAAAGGGUGCGCAGGCGGAGGUGCAAGUCAGCGGUCAAAUUGCGGGGCUCAACCCCGUACUGCCGUUGAAACUGCAUCCCUUGAGUGCGCGAGAAGUAUGCGGAAUUCCUGGUGUAGCGGUGAAAUGCUUAGAUAUCAGGAGGAACAUCGGUGGCGUAAGCGCUUUACUGGGCCGUAAUUGACGCUGAGGAACGAAAGCCAGGGUAGCAAAUGGGAUUAGAUACCCCAGUAGUC